AUUCUGUAAUAUAUAUACAUAAUACAGAUUCUCAAAAAUCAUCGCCCAAACUAAUUAUAGCUGUUUUUAUUAGCAUCACAUCGCAAUAUUUACUAAAACAAACUUACAAUUCCUGUACCGCACUAUGUACAAAGCGAUAAGAAAAAAGAUAAACAUCUUACGGUGUCUUCGGCCUAAUUAGUUAUUUCAGUAAAAUUAAUGAGCACGGCACUUUAUCAUCAAAGAAUAUGGGAAAGUAUACAUUUUUCAUUAUCGGCUUAAUAAUUAUUUUCGCAAUUUUGCAAGAAUGCGAAUGCAGAAGAAAAAUAUUGAAAGGGCGGAAUACCAUCAAUCGGAAGUAUAUGAGGGCUAGUGCCGUUCCUGGAUGGGUUACAGUUGUAUUAAUCGCAUUGGGGCAAAUAACUUUCGGCGGAUUACUUUACCUACUCUUAAAAGUGUUGAUAUUGAACAAACCGUUAAAGCCACGUUAUAUGCAACCUCCAGAAACGUUUGAAGCAUCCCCUUAAAUUUAGAAAACGACUUUCAAUUUUUUGUUAAUAGUUAUAUUAAUUAAAAUUUUGCAACUCGUACAGAAGUUUUCAUAACGAAUAAAGGUGUACCAUUUUGUUGAGUCAGAGCUGUGACACAUAUUAUUUUCUAAUAAAAAUUUUAUCGUAAAUAAUGAUAGUUUAUCUCGAAGAUAGCCGGAGAUAAGCCUCGAUGCUGUCUCAAUAAGCUUACCCGAUUUGUUAUGUUGUACAAUUUUAACAAAGCCUGGUAAAGAAUACCGCCAAGU